AAUUGCCUCCGCUCCAACAUCAUCACUGUUAUACACCACCUCACCCUGACCUAUUUGAAUUUCUGCCAGAUGCAGCUUUUUUCUUCUUCCUUUGACGUAAUUAUGGAAGAACCUAGUAUUCUUAUGUCCAUCCUUAAACCACCUCAUCCCAGCUUUUUUCCUCCAAAACUCCUCCUCUAGGUAGAUAUAUUUUUUCAAGUUAGCCUCUGCCCUUUUCAAUUCUGCCCUGUUCUCAUCAUUUGUAUUAAUUUCAAUUGGAUUUCCUUGACCUUGACUUCAUCUUCUAGUGUUGCUACCUGCUGGAAAAUAUUUCCAAAAGUCUCCUUACUCGACCUCACCAGUGCCCCUUUCACUUUUUUCAUUUUAGCCUGAAAUUCAAUAAACAGGCAACCCACAAAAAUUCCAGUUUUCAUCAAUUAUUUUCUGAAACUGGGGGGUGUCUUGCAAAGAAAUUGAGAAACUUAAAAGGCCUGCUUGUCAGCUCCUCCUUUGAGUUGCAUAUGAUGUGUAAAGGUGCAUGAUCUGAUCCUUGUCUCACUAGAUGGUGCACUUUACUAGAAGGCAACAAAUUGAUAAACUCCUGAUUCCCAAAAACUCUAUCAAGUCUUUUAAAUAUUCUCUCCCUUUCAAUCCUCCUAUUCCACCAAGUAAGCAUGCUACCCAUAAAUUUAAGUUCUGUUAAAGCACAAUUAUAACGCGUUGACUGACCUCCAACGCCUCAACUUGAGUAAAAUCUAAUCCCCCUUGCUUCUCCUCCUCGUUCAGUAUAGUAUUAAAGUCACCUCCCACCAUCCUAGGGAUAUUAAUAUUUACAGAUAGAUCUUCCAACUCUUCCCACAACUCCAAUCUUUCUAAUGCAUUACAUCUAGCAUACACUGCUGUACAUAUCAUCUCCACAUUGUUCUUGCUCAACUUUAAAGCAACUUGUUGCAUACUAUCUCUUAACACUUCACCCCUCCCGUCAUCCUCCCAAAAAACCCAAAUUUUCGCAUAUACGUUGCAAUUUGCAUUUUGACAACCUAAAUUUCUUUUGUAUUGAUCUAGCUCCUUUGGACCCUGAAAUGGUUCCAUAACAGCUAUAAGAUUGUAUUUAUGACGCCUAUUUAGAUCCAUCAAACUCUCAAACGCCUUCUGAGACUUAACCUAUCUAAUGUUCCAAAAAAAUUGCUUUUCCAAUCAUUGGAAAAUGUCUUCUGAUCUUUCCCUACUACUCCUUGUUUUUACUUGAAGUGGUACAAUAUUCUGAUUUGACUUUGAUCUCUUUGUACCACUCUCCAAUAUUUUUAAUUUUCUUGGGGAUAAAUCCCCAUCUCUUCCCACCUUAUCUAUGUUAUCGUCAAAUUCAUCGUCUUCAUCUGUAUCUCUUAUUUCUUGAAUCUCCUCCACUGUCAACUCUUGUAGAUCAGGAAGAUCAUCCCUCAGACUCUCUCUAUCUCUCCUCUUAAUUUCAGACACUACCCCAUCAAUAGUCUGCACCCCAUGGUAUUCUACCAUCUCCAAACAUUUAUUCCCCAUAUUACUACUUCUAGCAUCCUUGUCAUUGCGUCUUUCACUCUCUUUUUUGCGUCUUUCACUCUCUGUUUCGUCAGUGUUCCUCUAUUCUUGAUAUUGUCACCCCCCUGCUAUAUCCACUAUCUCCUCUACGACUGAUCUCUUGACCUCUGCCCCUUUGUUUUUGGCUUCGUUCCCCUUAUCAAUUUCGGUUGUUUCUUUGAAAACUUCCUCAACCCAUUUCCUUGUAUCAAUCCUCUCCACCCCUAUCAUUUGUCCACCCUCUGUCUCCCCACAUUCUCCAGAUCAUUCAAUGCCCCAAAAGAAUUACCUGUUUUAAUCCCUUCCUGUUCUUUUUGAAUAUUUUCCUUAUUCCAAACCUGUUCUGUUUUCCCUCCCCAAUGUCGACCCCCUCCUAUCCCCCUUUUAUUGGUAUGCACCUUGAAAACGUUACUGUCUUUUCCUAACGUAUCCUUCUGGAUUUGCCCCUUCCUCUGCUAACCCCCCUUUUUCUCCUCUUGCUUGUCGAUCCCUUCGUCCUUCCCCACCUCUGCCUUUGGACAUAAUUCUGGAUGUAACACGUAAAUUGCUCCUGAUCAUGUCCUUGAAUUUUACAAUUCUUGCAAUAUUUUGGUACGUGGUCAUAUCGGAAUGUGAUCCAUUUCUCAGUGAUCUCCCCUGAUUGCUUCCUCAUGCCUACGCUUAUCCUUUUUGGAAACUCGCGUAAUAAAUCAAACUCCACCUUUACCCUUGCACAACUAGGUCGAGUCUGAUUCCUUGUUUCUAGGUCUACUUGUAGAGUCUUUCCAACUGCAGCUGCCAAUGAAAAAACUGCUUCUUUCACAAAGAAGUUGGGAGGAAGCGAUGGAAAAGAUGUCCAUGCUAUACUUGUUGAUGUUUCCUCCUCCGAAUCAAACAUUGGCUCCCACUUCAACGUUUGCAUUGGAUAUGUCCAGCCACGAUGCAGUAUAUAAAAAGCCGGCUUUGACAAGAUUCACGUAGUCUCCAAGCAUGAUGCCCUUAUUAAUAUAUACCUAUUGCUUAGCAAAGCUAUGUUACAUUCACCUUUCAACUCGCAUUGUUUUGGAAUUAAUUUUCUCAUAUCUUGAAUCUCAGGCCAGCCAUAUGAAAAUUUUCCUAUUACUGCGUACUCCAGAUUUUCUUUCACAAUCAUGUGUUCCACCUCCUCCUCAUCCCAUACUAUUCUAGGUUCACCAUGUAGGUGCACAAUAGGUUUUAAUACCGUCACUUUAACUUCUCGUAAUGGAUGUGCUGCUGCUAAAUAAUUAAGCUUAGGCACUGACUCGCUUUCCUUUGGAUGUAGAUCAACCCCAGUGGGAGGUUGCCUAGGCAUUUUGGUGGUCAUUGCCACCAGAAAUUCACAAAUAUUUUAGGCUCCCGGCGGCAACUUUUUAGACUAUUUUCAACCUACUUUUUGUCGUAUAUGUUGUUAAGACUUAAUAUUAUUCAAACCCUGGUUAGAAUUACCUAAAAAUAGAUUUUAAAUCCAACUUGAGUUAAUUUGAUUAGUGUAAAAUUGUAUAUGAUAGUAAUUUUUACUUUCUUCUAUAUUUAGCUCGAGAAGAGGUUUUAAAGUUCUCUAUUUCAUGAUCAAUAGUCAAGGUGAGGUAAAAAUCAAGUGAAUAUUUGUACUUCAAGAUUUCGAUUCCAUGUGAACUGAAAAUUUUCAUUUCUUUAGUCUUUUUGUUGUUCUUUGCUUGAUGAACUUUCCAGUUCUUUUCAGUGUCAACUCUAUUUUUAGUUGUGCAAAUCCUUGUCAAUAUUGAUAAAUGAACCUGUGGUAGCUUUUCUAAAUUUGUAUAGAAUACAAUUUUCUGUACAAUUGUAUUAUGUACAACCUAUGUACAAUUUCCUGGACAACCUAUGGUAGCUUUUCUAAAUGUCACUACCAGGAUAAUGUAGCUGCAGUGGCUCGCCAAUAUGUACGAAGUAUAGUAGGCUCUGUUCAGAGAGUUGCAAUGGCCAUAGCAACUUCUUGACUCACCUCUUAGUUAACACUUAAAUCCUUCCCUUGGUCACCUGAAGCUGUCACUUUAGCAAGGUGGAUUUCCCGGAGCUAUAGGCAUCUGCAGUUUUUACAGUUGCAAACUAGGCUGGUCUUGACAUGCUUGAAACCACUUUGUUAGCUCUUGAGGAUCUAAUGCUUGAUAAGAUUGUAGAUGAAGCUGGUCGUAAGGUCCUCCUAUCGGAGUUCUCCAAGAUCAUGCAGCAGUAGGAAUAUUUGUAUCUAGCAAGGGCAGGCCAAUAUUAUAUGAGCAAGCGAUAGCAUGGAAGGUUCUCAACGGCGAAUACAAUUUUCAGUUUUGUUGUGCAAAUUGUGAAACUAUGGAACUGUAUUCACGUGCAAAAGCACAACAAGAAGAAAUUCUAUAUCUUCGGGAACAGAUUGCUCUUGCCAGGCACUAGAUGAGAAGCAGAACGAAGCUAUAAUAUCUGCCUCAAAUGAACUGACUCGGAGGAAAGGUGAUCUUGAAGAAAACCUAAGAUUAGUGAAUGAGUUAAAGGUAACCAAUCAGAAGAUAUAGGCAUUGGCAGAGUCGCAUUCAACCUAGAUUGACUGUGAAUUCUUUUCCCUUUUUUGGGAAUAUAAGCUUCAAGUUUUAAAAAUUAUUUCUCUACUUGUGGUUCUUAACGUUACUGCACAAUAUUGGUUGCUUCUCUGCAGUUCUUAACAAUAAUUUUGUUGUUAAGUCAUCUAUCGAUCAGAACUGAGGGAGAAGGUAUAUUUUUCAUUUCCUUACAUCAACUUUAGUAUAGUCUGUUUUUUUUCAAUUCUUAGACUCUAAUUCAUAUAUAAUUGAAUAAUAAAUUAACUUAUCUGGUGCCUGUGUUUAUAGUUUGGUGACCUUAGCAGUGAUAAACACCAAGUGAAGAGAAGGAAGGAGAAGAUCUUUGUACAUAUGGUAGCGAGAAAUCAAAUGUUGAGAUUGAAUUGUUUAUAAGACCACCGAAGUGAAGAGUAAGGCUUCUCUAAAAGAAUUGAUUGGUGUAGUAUCCUCUUGCCAAUCUGCAGUUAAAGGGGUAGUUAAAUAUUUGUCAAAUAGUCUUCAUGUUAUUUUCUAUUACUUAAAUCGGUAGUCGUGCAUAGAUUACUUUGCAUAAAUUACUUGAACAUGUAGUCGGGCAUAACAACUCGUCAGGUAGUCCACAAAAACAGAUGCUUGCACAUCCCGCAGUGGCAGAUUUUUCACUCAUUGUGAUUGGAAUUCUACUCUUGAAAGUAUUUUGGAGGAAGUCCCUUCGAUAUGCAAACCAUUUCUAGCAGACCAACCGGUGAACAUAAGGUCAUUGAUUCAAAUAUACAAGAUUGGGUUUGAAUGGGAGGUUAUGAAAAGAAUCAUCAUAGAGAAAACAUUAGAAGACUCAUUUUAAGUGUAGAAGGAAAAGAGGUGAAAAAAAGAGUACCAAACAUGCAGCAAAGCAUAGUUGCUGGUAUGUAGAUUGAUGGUAUUUCACAUAAGAAUAUGAAAGAGUUUGGUAGACUUCAUAUAUCCCUUGCCAUCAUGACUCCCUCCGCCAACACCUGCUGUUCGGGCAAUCUUCAGCUCAAACCUAUACCAAGCAAGUGUUCGAAGAAUCUUUGUUGCCUGCUACCUUGGCACGACAACAAGUCUUUAAUCACAAAAGGAAGAAUAAGAUCCUCUCGAUAUUACAUAUGAUCGUGAUCCAAGUUGUCAUACUUUCACCGACUCAAUUUUCUUCUUUCUUCAUUGUUGAACACAUUCUUUUUAUUUGUUUUGAUACCUUGAACACAAUCAUAUAGGUAAUUCAUAUCUUUACCACUAGAAGACAAUAAAGUGGAUGUAUUAAGUUUUUGAUUGUUCUUAUAAUUGAAUGACAACGUCUGAGUUUGGUAA